GAACGCAUCUUGCGCUCCUUGGUAUUCCGAGGAGCAUGCCUGUUUGAGUGUCAUUAUAUUCUCAACCAUUGAACUUGUUUUUCUUUGGCUUGGAUGUGGGGGUUGCGGGCUUCGCAAGAGGUCGGCUCUCCUUAAAUGCAUUAGUGGAAACCGCUUGCAGGAUUCAUUCACUUUUUGGCGUGAUAGUAUCGUCGUCAAAGGGCUUAUGUCUCCGAGGUGUCUGCUCUCUAACCGUCCGUUAAAGGACUCUUAAUGACUUGUUUGACCUCAAAUCAGGUAGGACUACCCGCUGAACUUAAG
rnacentral:misc_RNA from 1 species